ACAUGCAUACAACAUAGUGUUAAUGCAUGGGAUCCCCUUAAAACUCUGUAGUUAAGCGCGCUUGGGCUAGAGUAGUAUUGGGAUGGGUUAUAGCCCGGGAAGUCCUAUUGUUUUACAUGCC
rnacentral:rRNA from 1 species